rnacentral:rRNA from 1 species
UACAGAGGUCCCAAGCGUUGUUCGGAUUCACUGGGCGUAAAGGGUGCGUAGGCGGUCGGGUAAGUCUGAUGUGAAAUCUCCAAGCCUAACUUGGAAACUGCAUUGGAUACUAUCCGGCUCGAGGAAUGGAGGGGAGACUGGAAUACUUGGUGUAGCAGUGAAAUGCGUAGAUAUCAAGCGGAACACCAGUGGCGAAGGCGAGUCUCUGGACAUUUCCUGACGCUGAGGCACGAAAGCCAGGGGAGCAAACGGG